AGCAAGCAGUUGUUUAAUCUCAUAAUGAUGCUCCAGUGCACAAAUGCAGACACCUCACACAACCAACAUCAGAUAAUAUUUAAUCAUAUAUAUCUAAUGGCUAUAAUGUAAAAUACAGGAUCCAACACUAUUCAAGUAAGUAAGUAAAUAGAUUUUGAAAAUGGAAAAAAAAUGAUUAUAUUAUUAGCUAACUAGCUACAGUGCAGGCUAACUCAAAUGAGCUGCUAAAUGAGCUAUCUAGACAACUUCAAAUACUGUAUAGAUAGCUAGCUAAGUGAAUUAAAUAUCACCAGCUACCUAACUUCAUAUUAGCUAGCUAUCUUGAUGUAUUUAUCACUGUAAAAAACAAACUCCAAAUGCAUUUGUAGGUAGCUAGCUAACAGCCAUGGAGGAGGGUGAAAGGAUAGCAGCCCCAACUGUCAGUGAGAGAGGAGGCUAUUCUGGAUAGGGCAGGUACUUUUGUGUAGUUCCUGGCCCUAGAAGUGAAGACGGAGAUAAUAGGACCAAAAUAUUCAGUGUGGUGUAAUUUGACUAGAAUGAAGUCUGUUUCUUGUGAGGUUUUCUGUCCUAAAGAGCGCUAUGAAAGCCAGUCUACAUAUGAAGAGGUCCCAAUGAAGAGCAGUGGUUCUCAGUCCUGGGGACUCAAAGAGGCACAUUGUUGUUUUUGCCUCAGCACUGCACAGCUGAUUCAAAUGAUCAACUCAUCAUCAAGCUUUGAGUAGUAUUUAUGUAUUCAUUUGUGAUGCUAUCCUUGAUAUGAUCCUGUUAUUGUCACAUGCUACACAUGUACAUAUGUGUGUCCAUGCAUCUAUCAAUCCAAUGUUGUCAUGAUUUGUUAUCAGGGAUAUUAUACUUUAGUAAUCCACAAUGACCUGGUGAUGUAACAGUCUAAUAAUUACAUUGUCUUCCAUAUUCCUACAGAUACCUUGUAACUGGAGAUUCCUUCAAAACUAUUGCCUACAGUUACCGUGUAGGGCACUGCAAGGUUGGGUGACCAGGGUCAUCUGGGACUGCCUCCUGGAGGAAUUCAGGUGUGUGAAGGCUACCGUGAAGAAUAGUUAUAUCAGCUGUGUCGGUGAACCCCUCCUGCAUCUGAACUGGUUACAUAGAGGACACAGCAUGAUCAGAUAUAUGUUUUGUUGUGAGAGGAUGCCAACCCCCAGUCCCAUCAUCGCCACCUCACCUGCUUUUAAGAUAACCUUUGGGCCGACUAGAGACACUAUUAUGUAAUUGUGAUGAACUGAGAGAAUAUUUAGGUAGCACUGUGAUUCAUUAAUCACGUGCUGCCUUCCCUGCUCCUAUGUGUUUACCUCUUUCCCUUUCUGUCUUUUACACCUCUCCCACCACCUACUCUUUCUUCCUCUGUUUUUAUAAUUCACAACAGAUGUGCACUGAAGUACAGAUUGAACUUGUAUUUAUAACACUUGGAUAAUGAGCUUUUCAAUAAAGCGUUUCACAUUCUCUACUGGUUGAAAUGAAGUGUAAUGUGAUGAAAUACUCCACCUAUCCUGUGUUUAUCAGAUCAAUGCAGAUGAAGGACAUUAGAUGUUGAGAUG